AUUGAACGCUGGCGGCAGGCCUAACACAUGCAAGUCGAGCGAGCGGCGGACGGGUGUGUAAUGUCUGGGAACCUGCCCGAUGGAGGGGGAUAACUACUGGAAACGGUAGCUAAUACCGCAUACCAUCGGAUGUGCCCAGAUGGGAUUAGCUAGCAGGUGGGGUAACGGCUCACCUAGGCGACGAUCCCUAGCUGGUCUGAGAGGAUGACCAGCCACACGGGAACUGAGACGCGGUCCAGACUCCUACGGGCGGCAGCAGUGGGGAAUAUUGCACAAUGGGCGAAAGCCUGAUGCAGCCAUGCCGCGGAUAUGAAGAAGGCCUUCGGGUUGUAAAGUACUUUCAGCGAGGAGGCGUUACUCGCAGAAGAAGCACCGGCUAACUCCGUGCCAGCAGCCGCGGUAAUUC
rnacentral:rRNA from 1 species